rnacentral:rRNA from 1 species
GCUAAAUGUGGAUGGGACAAACUAGCUACACCGAAAUGCAAGGGUGGAAUGGGCUUCCGUGAUCUCCGUUUGUUCAAUCUAGCUCUUUUGGGGAAGCACGGAUGGCGAUUUAUGACUAAUCCCAACUCUCUAUGUGCCCGGGUUUUGAAGGGCCGUUACUUCCCUGAUUGUGAGUUUCAGCUCGCCACAGUAUCGAAAGUUGCAUCUGCUACUUGGCGAGCCAUUGUUGCCGGUCGAGAGGCGCUCGAUGCUGGCCUUAUCAAACGCGUGGGUACCGGUUCAACCAUAUCCAUAUGGGAGGAUCGAUGGAUCCCG